rnacentral:lncRNA from 1 species
UCGAUUUUUAGAGAGGGGACGAAGAAGUUUCUUUGUUGUAACAACUUCACUGGAGUCGGGAGGUAAACAAAAAUGGCGGAUGCGGGCUACCUCGAUUCUGAAGCACCCUUAAAAAUUUAUAGGGCGUUUAUUCACUAGGUCCUAGACUGCAGGUUAAAUAUUUAAGCAGAGGUAGUAGCGCGUAAAGCAAAGGAACGAUUAGAAGGUUUGAAAGAAAGAAGCGCCCGUGUACGUGAAUCAUUCGGCGAGCCAUCGGCUCCACCCAAGUGUUUUGGUAGCAGAUUUAGCGGUUGCAGCCUGUAGCACCAGAACUCGUUUGAACAACAAAGCGGCAGCUGAACGUUUGACGCCUGUACCUGAUUCAAUUCAUCCAUUUUCCACAAUGCUAACACAGUGCAUCAAAGUAAAUAAAAGCCAGGUGAUAGCUAAACGGCCUAGCUGUUCGUCGAGUUUGGGGACACGCGUGAUGUUCUUCUUAACAGUAUAAUUGGAUUUACUGCCGUGAGAAGGGGACUAGAGCCUGUCGUGUUGGCAGUAGGACUGGCGUUUAGGGACAGGGUAACUUCCCUUUUCCUGAAACGCACGAAAAGCGCCCUGGAUAUGCUAUAUGCACAGACACAGGCAAGCAAGUUCUAUCCUUCAAUGCCAUGUUAAUUAAAGGAUAUUUUCAAAGAUAACUAUGGCGAAUCAUCUUUUUAAUAAACGAGUCUUGAAAAUGUUUCAUUUUUGACAACAAUUAAAGUUGCAGUGAAAAACGGAACCUACGAAGAACGAAAUGAGAAUUUGAAUCUUGAUCGAAAAAAGUUAACUAAUGAUUUGUAUUGUUAGUAAACAGUCGAGUAUUGAUUUAGCUUUUUUUUUCUGGAUCGUCCGGGGCAUACAGUUCUCCUGCUUUUUGUACACCCUAGUGAUAUCUAACUGACUAACAAAAACGACUUUGAGUUUUGAGAUGUGUCAGUCUCGCUGGAAGGGAAAUGCAAAGGUAUGAGAGAAAUUACCAGUAAAUGUACAUCACAUGUUCUUAAAAUCUGCCUCCGGAUCGACUUCUUUUUUAUGUAUAUAUCUUUAAAGCUAGUUAAUAAUAUAUUUUGUAUUGCCAUUGAAUCUAAUUGAAAUUGCUGAAACAAUUUUAAGCCAGGUAAUAAAAUUAGAAAAAAAAUGAAGCAAAAAACUUUUUUUAAAGUAGGAAAAACAAUGAAAUCAAUUCUCUUUCCUACCAGUACAGUGCAAAUAAAGCAUAUCUAAAGACAAGAUUGCGUGAUAUGGAUACCAACUGAGCAAGAAAGGAAGACCUUUGUUGAAAUAAUGUUUCUUUUAUAUUUAUGGUAUUUACG